rnacentral:rRNA from 1 species
ACGCUGGCAGCGUGCAUAACACAUGCAAGUUGAACGGGAUUGUUAUCUUCGGAUAACAUGAGAGUAGCGAACGGGUGAGUAACACGUAAGAAUCUACCUUUAGGACGGGGAUAACUUCUGGAAACGGAUGCUAAUACCCGAUAUGCUGUGGAGUGAAAGAAUUUUCGCCUAAGGACGAGCUUGCGUCUGAUUAGCUAGAUAGAGUGGUAAUGGCACACUAUGGCAACGAUCAGUAGCUGGUCUGAGAGGAUGGACAGCCACAUUGGAACUGAGACACGGUCCAAACUCCUACGGGAGGCAGCAGUGGGGAAUUUUCCGCAAUGGGCGAAAGCCUGACGGAGCGACGCUGCGUGAAGGAUGACGGCCUGCGGGUUGUAAACUUCUUUUCUCGAAGAAGAAUCAAUGACGGUAUUCGAGGAAUAAGCAUCGGCUAACUCUGUGCCAGCAGCCGCGGUAAGACAGAGGAUGCAAGUGUUAUUCGGAUUGAUUGGGCGUAAAGCGUCUGUAGGCGGUUUAGAAAGUCUCUUGUGAAAUUCUUCAGCUCAACUGAGGGUCCGCAAAAGAAACUUCUAAGCUUGAGGGAAGUAGAGGUAUAGGGAAUUUCCG